rnacentral:lncRNA from 1 species
UUUGAUUUAGGAUUUAGGAUUUGGUUUAGGAUUUGUUUAGGAUUUGAUUUAGGAUUUAGGAUUUGGAUUAGGAUUUUAUUUAGGAUUUAAGACUUAGUUAGGGUUUGAUUUAGGAUUUAGGAUUUGGUUAGGAUUUGGUUUAAGAUUUGGUUAGGAUUUAGGGUUUGGUUUAAGAUUUGGUUUAGGAUUUAGGAUUUGGUUUAGAGUUUGAUUAGGAUUUGGUUUAGGGUUUAGGAUUUGGUUGAGAUUUGGUUUAAGGUUUGUUUAGGAUUUGAUUUAGGAUUUAGGAUUUUAUUAGGAUUUAAGAUUCAAUUUGUUGUGGCCUAAAGUUUGAAUGAAGUUCAAUAGGAUUUUAACUAGUAUUAAAUUAAGAUUGAAUUAAGAUGUAUUUGAGUGAUAUUUAUGAUCCUUCUAAUAUUUCUUUAAGUAUUCUUAUUAUUUGUUUGAAAUUUCUUUGAGAUUUUUUUGAAUUUGAUUAAGCUUGCUUAGCAUUAUUAUGGACUAAUUAGAGCAUUAUUGGUAUGCUAUUAGAAUUAAGUUUUUGUUGUUGUAAAUUCCAUUCUUUCUUCUACAGUCAAGUGCUCAAAGCAUUCUCAAGCAAGACUUCACGUAUUACGACAUAUUUG